rnacentral:rRNA from 1 species
UACGUAGGGUGCGAGCGUUAAUCGGAAUUACUGGGCGUAAAGCGCACGUAGGCGGCUUGGUAUGUCGGGUGUGAAAUCCCCGGGCUCAACCUGGGAACUGCAUCCGAAACUGCCUUGCUAGAGUAUGGGAGAGGGAAGUGGAAUUUCCGGUGUAGCGGUGAAAUGCGUAGAUAUCGGAAGGAACAUCAGUGGCGAAAGCGACUUCCUGGACCAAUACUGACGCUCAUGUGCGAAAGCGUGGGGAGCAAACAGG